rnacentral:rRNA from 1 species
GACGAACCGUGCGAACGUUGUUCGGAAUCACUGGGCUUAAAGGGCGCGUAGGCGGGCGAUCAAGUCCGGGGUGAAAUCUUUCGGCUCAACCGGAAAACUGCCUUGGAUACUGAUCGUCUUGAGGGAGGUAGGGGCAGGUGGAACUUCCGGUGGAGCGGUGAAAUUCGUAGAUAUUCGGAAGAACACCAGUGGCGAAGGCGGCUCACUGGCCCGGUACUGACGCUGAGGUGCGAAAGCGUGGGGAGCAAACGGG